UACUGUGACACAUCUACCCUGGCUAGAG
rnacentral:piRNA from 1 species